AUACCGGGCCUUUUUGGGCUUGGUAAUUGGAAUGAGGGAGAGUUAAACGGACCAUCGAGUAUCCAUUGGAGGGCAAGUCUGGUGCCAGCAGCUGCGGUAAUACCAGCUCCAAUAGCGUAUAUUAAGUUGUUGCAGUUAAAAAGCUCGUAGUUGGACUUGUGUGCGCUGUCCGCGGGUGGCCUGCGCCCAAAAGGGCGUUUCGGUUCGGCCCCGGUGGCGCCUUGAAAUCUGCAGCUGGGGGGACGUUGGCCUUAACUGGUCGGCGACCGCACGCCGGCUGCUCGGUUACUGUGAGAAAAUUAGAGUGUUCAAGGCAGGCAUUGGGUGCAAUUGAAUACAUUAGCAUGGAAUAAUAAAAUAUGGCUCCUGCCGUAUUUUGUUGGUUUUGACUGGUGGGAGUAAUGAUUGAUAGGGACGGUUGGGGGUGCUAGUAUUGAGCGGCCAGAGGUGAAAUUCAUGGAUUCGCUCAAGACUAACUUAUGCGAAAGCAUUCACCAAGGACGUCCUCUUUAAUCAAGAACGAAAGUUGGGGGAUCGAAGACGAUCAGAUACCGUCGUAGUCUCAACCAUAAACUAUGUCGACUUGGGAUCGGCGGUAGUUUUUUCAUUAAGACACUGUCGGGACCACGGGAGAAAUCAAAGUGUCUGGACUCUGGGGGAAGUAUGGUCGCAAGGCUGAAACUUGAAGGAAUUGACGGAAGGGCACCACCAGGAGUGGAGCCUGCGGCUUAAUUUGACCCAACACGGGGAAACUUACCAGGUCCAGAGAUGUAGAGGAUUGACAGAUUGAAGCUCUUUCUUGAUCACUUCGGUGGUGGUGCAUGGCCGUUCUUAGUUGGUGGAGUGAUUUGUCUGGUUAAUUCCGUUAACGAACGAGACCUCAGCCUGCUAGUGUAGUCGGCUGGAUUGCCUUUGGCGGUCCGUGAUUUCGACUUCUUAGAGGGACAAUCGACGCGCAGUCGAUGGAAGUUUGAGGCAAUAACAGGUCUGUGAUGCCCUUAGAUGUUCUGGGCCGCACGCGCGCUACACUGCUGGGCUCAGCGAGUUUUACUUGGCCGAGAGGCCCGGUUAAUCUUGUGAAAUCCCAGCGUGCUUGGGCUCGCCUCCUGCAACUGGAGGCGCCAACGAGGAAUUCCUAGUAGACGCAGGUCAUCAACCUGCAUCGAUUACGUCCCUGCCCUUUGUACACACCGCCCGUCGUUCCAUAAGAGUGAGGCAUCCGGUGAAUUCUCGGGAGAGCCUGGGCGUGGCCAGCAAUGGUCUGCUCGGGUUUGAACUUGCAUAAACUUGGUGCCUAUGAUUAGGG
rnacentral:rRNA from 1 species